CCACCUUGAACCGUCACUUCACGUGUGUGGGUGAGGAGGGAUCUCAUUACUCACCCUACAAGCAGCCUGGGCCAGGCAACACCGACUCACCUUUGCCACCCUGGAAGUUUCUUGCAAAGUGCAUGGCACCCAGGAUCACUGAACAAACGAGGGCAAGACUUCGUGGCAAUGCACCACGGAGGACACAGGGUAUUUAUCAUCUUAUGGACUCAGCAAUGCUCUCCAACACAGUGAUCCUCCCAGACACGGAGCCCAUUAAUCACCACCAGUGUGCAGAACAAGGGAGUGCAAACCAUGCCUUGGGUUUAUUUCUAAAUGGAAAAAGGCCACCAAAUAGCCCAGACGAAAGGCAGAGUCCUCAACAGUAAGAAUGAAAGAAAUGAUUGAUUCAUCAGCCUUCAGGGGACGAUGAGACAGCAGUGAAUUUGCCUCUCCUGAUUGACUGCAAGCCUGGGCAUCAUCCCCAGAAGAUGAGACAGGCACCACCGCACCUGCCUCGGGCCGGGAAGAUGCCGUGCUUCCCAAUGCAGGCUACCUCUUCACCAGUUUUUUUUCGGCGGACACAACAUCUUUGUUUGUAUGUGGUGCUGAGGAUCGAACCCGGGCUGCACGCAUGCCAGGCCAGCGCGCUACCGCUUGAGCCACAUCCCCAGCCCCAGGUUCCCACCAUCUACCCAAGUUCUUGAACUUGUUCCUGCUGCCACCCCCAGGAAUGGCCAAGGAAGAGCAGCCGGGAUCACAGGCUUGGGUGCUUUGAUGCUUUGGAGUUGAAGCACCCCUUCCUCGGUGACCCUGGGAGAGACACUUUCCUUAUCAGUAAAGUGAGUUAAUACGA